UCGUAAAACCGAGGUGCGAGGGCUGUCGCUGACCUUUUGGUCGUGCACGCCCGAGCGCUCUCACACAAUCCAUCUCACCCCUUUGUGCACCACCGCGUGGGUCCCUCUCUGGUUCGUCCCGAGGGGGGCUUGCGUUUUCACACAAACUUUUAUGCAGUGUAGAAUGUACCUUUGUUUUGCGAUCACGCAAUUAAUA
rnacentral:misc_RNA from 1 species